CUAGAGCAGUUUUGAUUGCUUAUGCAGCAAUUGAUCCUUGAUUAAAUUGAAAGAUUACAAGGCUCCUAUUUGAACAUGAAAAAAGGAAAGCUAAUUUUCGACUAGUUUUUCCCAUCAGAAUCCAUUCAUAAUCAUUUAUAAAUCACAAUUGACCCCAUGUUUGCUUUGCAGCAACAGUGAAAAAAUUUCCAGGAAUCCGGCCACAUUCUAUGCCAUCAGAUGGAGUAAAAUCACAUUUUGGCAUCUCCUGUUCACUGUAAUUGUCUCAUAAGCAUUAAUCAUGCUGGACUCUAAAUAAAAUUUUCUUGUCCUAGUCCAGAAUAAACUACAAAGUAAAAUUUGGCCACCAGAGAAAGUAAGCAAAAACAAAGAAGAAAGAAACAGUGUUUAAUUUUGUUCACAUGAAUGGAUAUUUAUGCUGUAAGCUUGCCCUUUUAUCCUCAUGUGGACCCAAACAUUGUUCUGUUUUGAUUGUCAGGUCUCCCUCUGGAGGGUCCCAAACCCAAACUAUAGAAAAUGGAGGAAGCAAGAAAGAAAGCGACUCUGAAUAGGCGCUUGAGGUCAAAGACUUUAUCCUUCACAACGUUAAAAUACGUCCUUUAGUUCAAAUACGGCUUAGCAUUAAUUGGCAGUAUUCGGAUGUGUGUAGGAAACCAGAAACAAAGGCUCAGCCACUCAUCCUGAGCCUGAGGGAAUGGUAGAAUCUCAAUCACGCACUUCCUGCUUGGAAACGAGACCUCCCAAAUAACUCAAUAAGGUUUUUAACUUUUUGGUCCUCCACGACUUAUUCAGGAUAUUCCCGCUCAACUUGUGCAUCAAAAAGACUUUCCUACUCAUGUUGAAGUAUCUAACUUGUGGUGGAAACUCGAAAGGCACGCCUGCCAUUACAUGAUUUGGCAGAUUGCAUAUAUAUCUUAUUGGUGUGUGCAUAUAAUUAGCACGUUUCAGAUUUGCCUAGAUUCUGCAAAACCAAUGACCUUCUGACACUGUAUAAGCUCUUAAGCAGGCCAAAAGAAAGAAUUUGCAAUUUAAUUGUAUUAUUGUGGUACCCAUUUGUUACUGAACAAUCAUUUAAAAUAAAACUAAAGCGCCAAAUGACAGAAAAAGCAACCAGAUCCAUUCAACAAAGUAGAAGUAGUCUGACCUGGGUUCGGUUUGUAGCUAUAUGAAGAAUUUCAAAGCUGGCAUAUUCCGUUGCGAUUCUCAACUGGUAUUUAGUUUGGAGCGAAGUGAUGGUUCGCUGGCUAGAGCACUCUAGGAGGGGCACAUGGCUUGAUAUGCGGGUCUUUGGAGAUUGUUUUUUGAGAGCGACUGUUUGCUCUUUCAAUUAUUUGUGAUUGAAGAGGUGUCCGAACGCCGCACAAAUCUGAAAGACAUUAUACGUGUAAAGGCUUUUAUAUUCAGGGAAAAAAACAUCUCUAAUCAGUCCAACUCAAAUAAUUAUUCCGAAAAACUAGUGAACAGCAGAAUUCCGGCGUUCACAUAUAAGAAGAAUCCUAAAUACCAG
rnacentral:lncRNA from 1 species